rnacentral:rRNA from 1 species
GACGAACGCUGGCGGCGUGCUUAACACAUGCAAGUCGAACGGAAAGGCCCUGCUUUUGUGGUGUGCUCGAGUGGCGAACGGGUGAGUAACACGUGAGUAACCUGCCCUUGACUUUGGGAUAACUUCAGGAAACUGGGGCUAAUACCGGAUAGGAGCUCCUGCUGCAUGGUGGGGGUUGGAAAGUUUCGGCGGUUGGGGAUGGACUCGCGGCUUAUCAGCUUGUUGGUGGGGUAGUGGCUUACCAAGGCUUUGACGGGUAGCCGGCCUGAGAGGGUGACCGGCCACAUUGGGACUGAGAUACGGCCCAGACUCCUACGGGAGGCAGCAGUGGGGAUUAUUGCACAAUGGGCGGAAGCAUGAUGCAGCAACGCCGCGUGCGGGAUGACGGCCUUCGGGUUGUAAACCGCUUUCGCCUGUGACGAAGCGUGAGUGACGGUAAUGGGUAAAGAAGCACCGGCUAACUACGUG